GACCACGUAGCUCAGUUGGCAGAGCAUUGGGCUAGUAUUCCAAAGGUCGUAGGUUCGAUUCCCACUGAGGCCA
rnacentral:tRNA from 1 species